rnacentral:rRNA from 1 species
UAACGCGUGGGAAUCUGCCCCUUGCUUCGGAAUAACAGUUAGAAAUGACUGCUAAUACCGGAUGAUGACUUCGGUCCAAAGAUUUAUCGGCAAGGGAUGAGCCCGCGUAGGAUUAGGUAGUUGGUGGGGUAAAGGCCUACCAAGCCGACGAUCCUUAGCUGGUCUGAGAGGAUGAUCAGCCACACUGGGACUGAGACACGGCCCAGACUCCUACGGGAGGCAGCAGUAGGGAAUAUUGGACAAUGGGGGCAACCCUGAUCCAGCAAUGCCGCGUGAGUGAUGAAGGCCUUAGGGUUGU